AGACAAAUGUCGAACCACUUGAUUUGUUUGGAGAAAUGUAUGUUCUUUGCAGCGCCAAAUAAACUACUUGAAGAGGGUCAACAGAGAGUUCUAGUUAGGUGGGCACCUUUGGAUAGUGGUUUCUAUAAACUGAAUAUUUAUGUGGCGAAAGGCAGGGGAGAAGAUAGUUUCCGUGUGCGGUUUGUCGGUAGUUUUUUGUGGGUGGUUUUCUGAUUCGAUGUA
rnacentral:lncRNA from 1 species